rnacentral:rRNA from 1 species
AUGAACGCUAGCUACAGGCUUAACACAUGCAAGUCGAGGGGCAGCAUGGUCUUAGCUUGCUAAGGCCGAUGGCGACCGGCGCACGGGUGAGUAACACGUAUCCAACCUGCCGUCUACUCUUGGACAGCCUUCUGAAAGGAAGAUUAAUACAAGAUGGCAUCAUGAGUCCGCAUGUUCACAUGAUUAAAGGUAUUCCGGUAGACGAUGGGGAUGCGUUCCAUUAGAUAGUAGGCGGGGUAACGGCCCACCUAGUCUUCGAUGGAUAGGGGUUCUGAGAGGAAGGUCCCCCACAUUGGAACUGAGACACGGUCCAAACUCCUACGGGAGGCAGCAGUGAGGAAUAUUGGUCAAUGGGCGAGAGCCUGAACCAGCCAAGUAGCGUGAAGGAUGACUGCCCUAUGGGUUGUAAACUUCUUUUAUAAAGGAAUAAAGUCGGGUAUGCAUACCCGUUUGCAUGUACUUUAUGAAUAAGGAUCGGCUAACUCCGUGCCAGCAGCCGCGGUAAUACGGAGGAUCCGAGCGUUAUCCGGAUUUAUUGGGUUUAAAGGGAGCGUAGAUGGAUGUUUAAGUCAGUUGUGAAAGUUUGCGGCUCAACCGUAAAAUUGCAGUUGAUACUGGAUAUCUUGAGUGCAGUUGAGGCAGGCGGAAUUCGUGGUGUAGCGGUGAAAUGCUUAGAUAUCACGAAGAACUCCGAUUGCGAAGGCAGCCUGCUAAGCUGCAACUGACAUUGAGGCUCGAAAGUGUGGGUAUCAAACAGGAUUAGAUACCCUGGUAGUCCACACGGUAAACGAUGAAUACUCGCUGUUUGCGAUAUACAGCAAGCGGCCAAGCGAAAGCGUUAAGUAUUCCACCUGGGGAGUACGCCGGCAACGGUGAAACUCAAAGGAGUUGACGGGGGCCCGCACAAGCGGAGGAACAUGUGGUUUAAUUCGAUGAUACGCGAGGAACCUUACCCGGGCUUAAAUUGCAGAUGAAUUACGGUGAAAGCCGUAAGCCGCAAGGCAUCUGUGAAGGUGCUGCAUGGUUGUCGUCAGCUCGUGCCGUGAGGUGUCGGCUUAAGUGCCAUAACGAGCGCAACCCUUGUUGUCAGUUACUAACAGGUUCCGCUGAGGACUCUGACAAGACUGCCAUCGUAAGAUGUGAGGAAGGUGGGGAUGACGUCAAAUCAGCACGGCCCUUACGUCCGGGGCUACACACGUGUUACAAUGGGGGGUACAGAGGGCCGCUACCACGCGAGUGGAUGCCAAUCCCAAAAACCUCUCUCAGUUCGGACUGGAGUCUGCAACCCGACUCCACGAAGCUGGAUUCGCUAGUAAUCGCGCAUCAGCCACGGCGCGGUGAAUACGUUCCCGGGCCUUGUACACACCGCCCGUCAAGCCAUGGGAGCCGGGGGUACCUGAAGUGCGUAACCGCGAGGAGCGCCCUAGGGUAAAACUGGUGACUGGGGCU